GACGAACGCUGGCGGCGUGCUUAACACAUGCAAGUCGAACGGAAAGGCCCUGCUUUUGUGGGGUGCUCGAGUGGCGAACGGGUGAGUAACACGUGAGUAACCUGCCCUUGACUUUGGGAUAACUUCAGGAAACUGGGGCUAAUACCGGAUAGGAGCUCCUGCUGCAUGGUGGGGGUUGGAAAGUUUCGGCGGUUGGGGAUGGACUCGCGGCUUAUCAGCUUGUUGGUGGGGUAGUGGCUUACCAAGGCUUUGACGGGUAGCCGGCCUGAGAGGGUGACCGGCCACAUUGGGACUGAGAGACGGACCAGACUCCUAUGGGAGGCAGCAGUGGGGAAUAUUGCACAAUGGGCGGAAGCCUGAUGCAGCAACGCCGCGUGCGGGAUGACGGCCUUCGGGUUGUAAACCGCUUUCGCCUGUGACGAAGCGGGAGUGACGGUAAUGGGUAAAGAAGCACCGGCUAACUACGUG
rnacentral:rRNA from 1 species